AUACGGAGGGGGUUAGCGUUGUUCGGAAUUACUGGGCGUAAAGCGCACGUAGGCGGACUGGAAAGUUGGGGAUGAAAUCCCGGGGCUCAACCCCGGAACUGCCUCCAAAACUUCCAAUCUAGAGAUCGAGAGAGGUGAGUGGAAUUCCAAGUGUAGAGGUGAAAUUCGUAGAUAUUUGGAGGAACACCAGUGGCGAAGGCGGCUCACUGGCUCGAUACUGACGCUGAGGUGCGAAAGCGUGGGGAGCAAACAGGAUUAGAAACCCUGGUAGUCC
rnacentral:rRNA from 1 species